AAAAAGACCGGAAGCCAUUACAAGAAG
rnacentral:piRNA from 1 species